rnacentral:rRNA from 1 species
UACGUAGGUGGCAAGCGUUGUCCGGAUUUACUGGGCGUAAAGAGCGCGCAGGCGGUCGUUCAAGUCGCGUGUGAAAGCCCCCGGCUCAACUGGGGAGGGUCACGCGAUACUGAUCGACUCGAAGGCAGGAGAGGGUAGUGGAAUUCCCGGUGUAGUGGUGAAAUGCGUAGAUAUCGGGAGGAACACCAGUGGCGAAGGCGGCUCUCUGGGCAAUGACCGACGCUGAGACGCGAAAGCGUGGGAAGCAAACAGG